ACGUGUAGCAGUGAAAUGCGUAGAGAUGUGGAGGAACACCGAUGGCGAAGGCAGCCCCCUGGGAUAACACUGACGCUCAUGCACGAAAGCGUGGGGAGCAAACAGGAUUAGAUACCCUGGUAGUCCACGCCCUAAACGAUGUCAACUGGUUGUUGGAAGGGUAACCUUUUAGUAACGAAGCCAACGCGUGAAGUUGACCGCCUGGGGAGUACGGUCGCAAGAUUAAAACUCAAAGGAAUUGACGGGGACCCGCACAAGCGGUGGAUGAUGUGGUUUAAUUCGAUGCAACGCGAAAAACCUUACCUACACUUGACAUGCCAGAAAUCCUGCAGAGAUGUGGGAGUGCCGCAAGGAAUCUGGGCACAGGUGCUGCAUGGCUGUCGUCAGCUCGUGUCGUGAGAUGUUGGGUUAAGUCCCGCAACGAGCGCAACCCUUGUCACUAGUUGCUACAUUUAGUUGGGCACUCUAGUGAGACUGCCGGUGACAAACCGGAGGAAGGUCAGGAUGACGUCAAGUCCUCAUGGCCCUUAUGUGUAGGGCUACACACGUCAUACAAUGGUCGGUACAGAGGGUUGCCAACCCGCGAGGUGGAGCUAAUCUCACAAAGCCGAUCGUAGUCCGGAUCGCAGUCUGCAACUCGACUGCAUGAAGUCGGAAUCGCUAGUAAUCGUGGAUCAGCAUGUCUCGGUGAAUACGUUCCCGGGUCUUGUACACACCGCCCGUCACACCAUGGGAGUGGAAUCCGCCAGAAGUAGUUAGCCUAACCGCAAGGAGGGCGAUUACCACGGUAGGUUUCAUGACUGGGGUG
rnacentral:rRNA from 1 species